rnacentral:tRNA from 1 species
GAAAUACUAUAAAUUUAAACUUCUAAUUUAAAUAAAAGUGAUUAAAAUCAUUUAUAUUUCU